rnacentral:tRNA from 1 species
CCGACCUUAGCUCAGUUGGCAGAGCGGAGGACUGUAGUCUGUGCUGAAAUCCUUAGGUCGCUGGUUCGAAUCCGGCAGGUCGGA